GGGAAACUUUAUUGCUGAUGCCACCCGCCGCGAAACUGAAAUAAAAAACCCGAUGCGCAGGUCAUCGGGUUCAUUGCA
rnacentral:sRNA from 11 species